UACGGAGGGUGCGAGCGUUGUCCGGAAUCACUGGGCGUAAAGGGCGCGUAGGUGGCGCGGGAAGUCAACGGUGAAAGUUCGGGGCUCAACCCUGAAUCGGCCGUCGAUACUCCCGGGCUCGAGCACUGUAGAGGCAGAUGGAAUUCCGGGUGUAGCGGUGGAAUGCGUAGAGAUCCGGAAGAACACCGGUGGCGAAGGCGGUCUGCUGGGGCAGUUGCUGACACUGAGGCGCGACAGCGUGGGGAGCAAACAGGAUUGAG
rnacentral:rRNA from 1 species